UUGCAGCAACUUUUGAGCUCUCUUCAAUCCUCUAUUAAAUCAAAUUUCGACCUUUCCCCUUCAUUGAAGCAGCUUACGAGUGAGAAUGAGUAAUCUGGAUUCAUCAGCCUUGUAGAUCGUUACCUAAGUGGAGAAGCUGAGCAUGUUGAUUGGAGCAAAAUCAAGACUCCUAUCUGUCAUCGAUCGCCUUUUUUAAAAAUUUAUUUCCUGGGGUUUUUUGAUCUUUGGGAGCUUGCUUUCGCCGCACUUGCAGCCUUCCUUGCGUCAAUUCCCACAAACAACUCUCUGGUUGUACUGGCAAAAAAUCCCUUUCCCAGAUAAUCCACCUUUCUCAAUUUGACGAUUCUACCCUUCUUUCUGAUUAUAAUUUGUUAGAGGAUGUGAAAAGGGUAGCUGAAUCUGCCCAGAGAAUGCGUGUUAAAUUAUGUGGUUAUCAUCCUCAAUUUAGGCUCCCUUUCCAUCUUAAAGCCCUUUGGACUGCUGCGGCGAGAAAAGGGACUAAGCUUUUGUUACUUCCUGCUGGAAUGGCUAAGGGGGAGAAGAAUCAAACAAGAUAUAAUCUAAGCUUAUUGAGCAAGCACUUGAGAACAGUGGACAUGAUUUUGACUUGGCGAUAAAAAGUUUGAAUGACCUCCGAUUAGGAUCUGCUGAUAAUGACACCCACUCACAGCCAAACAAUAAGCCACAAGGCUACUUAAAGGACGUAGUUUUCCUGGCAAAGUAUUGCUGAGUCGUCGAACAUAACCUUUUGACGCCUCUAGCAUACAUGCUUAUCCCCGGGGAUACCGAAGGAGUUACUCUCAAAAUGAUGCUGGACAGCAAAAACAACAGAUGAUAAAAUUAUGCUCAAUAUAUACCGUAUGAGCCCAAUAUAAAAGCAAACGAAGAACCUCAGAUAUUGGAACACCAAAGGUGAAUCCAGAAAGUGCAGCCUUGAUUGUUUCAGUUGCACCGAGAAAAGGGGCUCCUGUAGAAAGACAAAAUCAUUCACAUAUGUGCAUGCAAAAAACUUCUUUCAAAUAAAUGGUUAAAGAGAGCAUACCAACAGCAAAAUAGGCAUGGAUGUGUUUAUCAAGCCAAUUCAUAUGUUCUUUCGGAGCAACCUCCAGCUUUAACCACUCUAGAAAGUAUCGAAAAACAUUGUUUCCAAGUGAAUUAGCAAAUACAAAUGAAGGGCCUCCACGAAGUUUGAUCCUGUCAGAAUUAGGGAUAUAUAUGACAUGAUUAACAAAGUUUAGAGCAACAACAUGCCUUUUCCUCUUCUUAAUGAGAUCAAUAUUAGUGAGGCAGAGAUAUACUAUCAGGUUUGAGUUGAUUUAUAGUUUUUCACCUUUUUUUUUUCUACUUGAUUAUUGUGUUAGUUAUACAUGCUUUUCCUUAACUGAUGAUUGUCUUUGGUAGGCGCGUGAUGUAUCUACUGAUGGCCUCAGGCCUAAGCCAAGAAAAUGCUGUUAGAAGAGAUUAUUCGAUAAAGAAAAAUACUGUUAAAAAUGGUGGCGAAUUGAAACCACUAAGAAUAUAUAAUAAUACUACUACGCGCCACCAUUUGAGAUUAUUCGAUAAAGGAUACCAAUACUUUGCUUGAUUUGGAUCUAAGAUUUUGAUGUUUUUGUGAUGAUUAUGAUUUUUUACGGUGAAGAAGGAGAUGGUGAAUCCUUCCAUGGCGGAAAAGAAGGAGGAGCUUCUUUGAUUAUUGAGUUGAAUGAUAAAUCGACGGUCACUGGUGGAGGCGUGGAAGAUGUUUCAGUCAAAGGUAAGCCUUUUAAUUUAUUUGCAUGUUCUGAUUUUGUUAAUUAAAUUGGAUUUCUCGAUUUUUUUGGGUUUAUUUGUUCGAUUGGUUUUCGAUUUUUCUAGGGUUUAUUUUUUCUAUUUAUUUUUUGAUUUUUUUGGUUGAAUAUAUGUGGGUCGCUUUAAUUUAUGUGAUUUGGAUCUAAGAUUUUGAUGUUUUUGUGAUGAUUAUGAUUUUUUUCGGUGAAGAAGGAGAUGGUGAAUCCUUCCAUGGCGGAAAAGAAGGAGGAACUUCUUUGAUUAUUGAGUUGAAUGAUAAAUCGACGGUCACUGGUGGAGGCGUGGAAGAUGUUCCAGUCAAAGGCGCUCUCCUUUGUGCUGUAGUAAGCUGAUAAGUGAUAAUUGGCCAACCGACAGAAGUUGUUAGCUUGCUAGGAGUGAGUAUAGGGCUUUGGUUGUACAAGGUGUGUCUGAAAAGAUUGUGGGUGUUUUGGGAGGUGGGCAGCUCGGUCGCAUGUUAUGCCAAGCUGCUUCAGAAAUGGCUAUCAAAGUAGCUAUUUUGGACCCCUCUGAGAACUUCCCAGCUUCUACUUUCUCACAUUAUCAUAUGGUUGGGAGCUUUGAUGACAAUACCACAGUUGAGGAAUUUGCAAAGAAGUUGGAAUUUCAGUAAAUAUAGUCCCUCCCUCACCCUUCACCCCUUUCAUCAAGUGUCCUUUUUAUGCUUAUAUUUCUGAUCUUUGGGAUAUUCCUCUCAAAAUAUGAUUCUACAUUGAUUCUGAUCUUUGAGAUAUUCCUUCUGUUCAGUUGAAAAUGUUACAAGGUGAAUCGGAAAUGCAGGUUGAAGGAGCUGAAUUAUGCUCUGCUAAACUUGAUUUGACGAAAUUUGACCUGGGUUUGGCUUUAAACCAGUGCAUUGGAUAACUGUCACUUUGGUUGGUACUCAAUUGGCUGUUUGGGCAUUUCGGUUACUACAAUACAGUUGUUGGAGAGGGAAAUGGGAGAGCUUAAGCGACAAAGAGAUCUUGCACAGUCUCAACUUGAACUGGAAAGUACACGCAAGGAAAAGAAGGAAUCAAGUAACUCCAGCCCAUCUAAUCAAGUGAGAAAGUGCCUCGCCUAUCCAUCAGACACCAUUGCGACCCAGGAUGCUUAGGCAAUCAGUUACAUCCACUGAUCCUUCUCUCUUAGUGCAAGAAAUCCGGAAGCUUGGAAGUUCUGCAAAGACGACUUGGUGAUGAAGCAAAUAAAGCUCUUGACAUACUUCAAAAAGAAGUUGCAUGUAACAAACUGGGGACACAAGAUGUUGCUGAAAAUGUUGCAAAGCUACUUUCUGAGAUAAAAAACAUGCAAAUUAUCAAUUCCAUAUCCGAAGACAUCAUGGUAAAGGACAAAGCUGAUCUGAAAGAGGAAAUCAUCCGGCUGAACUCACAGGGGCAGACAAUUGAAUCUUUAGAAAAGAAGCUUGAGAAUGUCCAUAACUCUGUGGACAGUGAAAAUUCAGCAGCAGCAACAGUAAACUCAGAAGCUUCAGCAGCAACAGUAGCAGCAGCAACAGCAUCUCCAGAAGCUUCAGCAGCAACAGCUUCAGUAGCAGCAGUUUCAGCAGUAGCAGCAGCUUCAGCAGAAGCAGUAGCAGAUUCAGCAGCAGCUUCAACAGCAGCAGUAGCAGCAUCAAGGUUGAAAGGCCGGAGCAUAUGUUGAAAACCAUCUUCAGCAAAUCGAAGCUGCAGCAAGGUUGAAAGGCCGGAGCAGAGGUUGAAAACCAUCUUCAGCAAAUUGAGGGUCUUAGCGCUACUCAUAAGGGGUGUUUUUUAGUACUGUAUUGCAAUUUAAUAUUUAUAAAAUAUUUUCAAUAAUUUUAAUAAUAAAAUUGGUUGGUUUUGAUUGUACUUUUGGAGAUGAAAAAAUAAAGUAGAAAUGAAAACAAAAAAAUAGAGAAAAGGCGGCACUUGUACAAGAACUCCCACACAGGUCAUAUCCUACAAGAUUUGCUUGCAUUUCAUUA